rnacentral:rRNA from 1 species
AGAGUUUGAUCAUGGCUCAGGACGAACGCUGGCGGCGUGCUUAACACAUGCAAGUCGAACGGAAAGGCCCUUCGGGGUACUCGAGUGGCGGACGGGUGAGUAACACGUGGGUGAUCUGCCCUGCACUCUGGGAUAAGCCUGGGAAACUGGGUCUAAUACCGGAUAGGACCGCAUGCUUCAUGGUGUGUGGUGCAAAGCUUUUGCGGUGUGGGAUGAGCCCGCGGCCUAUCAGCUUGUUGGUGGGGUAAUGGCCUACCAAGGCGACGACGGGUAGCCGGCCUGAGAGGGUGACCGGCCACACUGGGACUGAGAUACGGCCCAGACUCCUUCGGGAGGCAGCAGUGGGGAAUAUUGCACAAUGGGCGCAAGCCUGAUGCAGCGACGCCGCGUGAGGGAUGACGGCCUUCGGGUUGUAAACCUCUUUCAAUAGGGACGAAGCGCAAGUGACGGUACCUAUAGAAGAAGCACCGGCCAACUACGUGCCAGCAGCCGCGGUAAUACGUAGGGUGCGAGCGUUGUCCGGAAUUACUGGGCGUAAAGAGCUCGUAGGUGGUUUGUCGCGUUGUUCGUGAAAACUCACAGCUUAACUGUGGGCGUGCGGGCGAUACGGGCAGACUAGAGUACUGCAGGGGAGACUGGAAUUCCUGGUGUAGCGGUGGAAUGCGCAGAUAUCAGGAGGAACACCGGUGGCGAAGGCGGGUCUCUGGGCAGUAACUGACGCUGAGGAGCGAAAGCGUGGGGAGCGAACAGGAUUAGAUACCCCGGUAGUCCAA